rnacentral:rRNA from 1 species
GACGGGGCCGCACAAGCGGUGGAGCAUGUGUUAAUUCGAAGCAACGCGAAGAACCUUACCAGGUCUUGACAUCCCGAUGCUAUUUCUAGAGAUAGAAAGUUACUUCGGUACAUCGGUGACAGGUGGUGCAUGGUUGUCGUCAGCUCGUGUCGUGAGAUGUUGGGUUAAGUCCCGCAACGAGCGCAACCCCUAUUGUUAGUUGCCAUCAUUCAGUUGGGCACUCUAGCGAGACUGCCGGUAAUAAACCGGAGGAAGGUGGGGAUGACGUCAAAUCAUCAUGCCCCUUAUGACCUGGGCUACACACGUGCUACAAUGGUUGGUACAACGAGUUGCGAGUCGGUGACGGCGAGCUAAUCUCUUAAAGCCAAUCUCAGUUCGGAUUGUAGGCUGCAACUCGCCUACAUGAAGUCGGAAUCGCUAGUAAUCGCGGAUCAGCACGCCGCGGUGAAUACGUUCCCGGGCCUU